rnacentral:rRNA from 1 species
UACGGGGGGGGCAAGCGUUGUUCGGAAUUACUGGGCGUAAAGGGCUCGUAGGCGGCCAACUAAGUCAGACGUGAAAUCCCUCGGCUUAACCGGGGAACUGCGUCUGAUACUGGAUGGCUUGAGUUUGGGAGAGGGAUGCGGAAUUCCAGGUGUAGCGGUGAAAUGCGUAGAUAUCAGGAAGAACACCCGUGGCGAAGGCGGUGGUCUGGGCCGGCACUGACGCUGAGGAGCGAAAGCGUGGGGAGCAAACAGG